rnacentral:rRNA from 1 species
UACGGAGGGGGCUAGCGUUGUUCGGAAUUACUGGGCGUAAAGCGCACGUAGGCGGCUUUGUAAGUUAGAGGUGAAAGCCCGGGGCUCAACUCCGGAAUUGCCUUUAAGACUGCAUCGCUAGGAUCGUGGAGAGGUAAGUGGAAUUCCGAGUGUAGAGGUGAAAUUCGUAGAUAUUCGGAAGAACACCAGUGGCGAAGGCGACUUACUGGACACGUAUUGACGCUGAGGUGCGAAAGCGUGGGGAGCAAACAGG